AGAUGGACUCGCGUCUGAUUAGAUAGUUGGCGGGGUAACGGCCCACCAAGUCGACGAUCGGUAGCCGGCCUGAGAGGUUGACCGGCCACAUUGGGACUGAGACACGGCCCAGACUCCUACGGGAGGCAGCAGUGAGGGAUAUUGCUCAAUGGAGGAAACCCUGAACCAGCAACGCCGCGUGAGGGAAGACGUUUUUCGGAUUGUAAACUUCUGUCAUCUGUGAAGAUAGUGACGGUAGCAGAGGAGGAAGCUCCGGCUAACUACGUGCCAGCAGCCGCGGUAAUACGUAGGGAGCGAGCGUUGUCCGGAUUUACUGGGUGUAAAGGGAGCGUAGGCGGCUGUGCAAGUCAGAAGUGAAAUCCAUGGGCUUAACCCAUGAACUGCUUUUGAAACUGUAGAGCUUGAGUGUAGUAGAGGUAGGCGGAAUUCCUGGUGUAGCGGUGAAAUGCGUAGAUAUUGGGAGGAACACCAGUGGCGAAGGCGGCUUACUGGGCGUUAACUGACGUUGAGGCUCGAAAGCACGGGUAGCAAACAGGAUUAAAUACCCUGGUAGUCCAUGCCGUCAAACGAUGAUUAUUAGGUGUGGGGGGUCUGACCCCCUCCGCGCCGGCGUUAACACAAUAAGUAAUCCACCUGGGGAGUACGACCGCCAAGGUUGAAACUCAAAAGAAUUGACGGGGGCCCGCACAAGCAGCGGAGUAUGUGGAUUAAUUUGAAGCAACGCGAAGAACCUUACCAGGUCUUGACAUCCAACUAACGAAGCAGAGAUGCAUUAGGUGCCCUUCGGGGAAAGUUGAGACAGGUGGUGCAUGGUUGUCGUCAGCUCGUGUCGUGAGAUGUUGGGUUAAGUCCCGCAACGAGCGCAACCCUUUCUGUUAGUUGUUACGCAAGAGCACUCUAGCAGGACUGCCGUUGACAAAACGGAGGAAGGUGGGGAGGACGUCAAAUCAUCAUGCCCCCUAUGACCUGGGCCUCACACGUACUACAAUGGCCAUUAACAGAGGGAAGCAAGCCCGCGAGGUGGAGCAAAACCCUAAAAAUGGUCUCAGUUCGGAUCGUAGGCUGAAACCCGCCUGCGUGAAGUUGGAAUUGCUAGUAAUCGCGGAUCAGCAUGCCGCGGUGAAUAAGUUCCCGGGCCUUGCACU
rnacentral:rRNA from 1 species